CCCCCAGCAUUCCAGACUAAUUGAGAGGGUAAGAUUCCUGAAAUGAAGGCUUUGGAAGCUAGGAGGCAGCUCUCCGGGCUCUGUGAGGCCGUCACAGCCAUCCUGCCCCAGGCACACCUGUACACCUGCACACAGGGUCGGCACGCAGGGGGUCAGGUGUGGUUGGAAGCCCGUGGUUCAGAGGGGUUUCAGGAGCCCACAGCCUCCUGGGGGCCAAAGUGCACGAUGAGCCACAGUUAGCACCAGAUGCUGAGCUGGGUCCUCAGGGAAGGCUUCCCCGGGGGGCACCAGAGCAGGACCCAGUGGCAGGAAGGAUCUGGGAACAUCAGAUGCGAAGGUCCUGGGGGAAACCCAGAGGUCAUGAAGCUGCGGAGGGUGGGGCGGGGUACGAAAGGGGAUGUGCCUUGAGACACGGGGUCUCGGCCACAGGAGAUGGGGUCCUCUUGAAGCCCCAGCAGCAAGCACGUGGCAAUGCCCUCCCGGCGCCCAGGUUCCAUAUAACCCAUUCUCCAGAGCUGAAGUCCACACCACCAGCGUCGCUGGAUCCUGAGCAGCAGACGGCAUGAGGGCCUCAUCCAAUCAGCUGAAGGCAGGGGAGUGUCGCCUAAGGGCCCGGAGGAGGAAUUCCCAGGACCGCCACAGAGAAGCCCGGCCUGAGCGCACAGCCUGGACUCGAGACUGCAACAGCGGCUCUUGACAGCCAGCGCGCCCUGCGAACUUCAGACGUGACAGCCCCA
rnacentral:lncRNA from 1 species